rnacentral:rRNA from 1 species
GAUGAACGCUGGCGGCGUGCCUAAUACAUGCAAGUCGAGCGAACGGACGAGAAGCUUGCUUCUCUGAUGUUAGCGGCGGACGGGUGAGUAACACGUGGAUAACCUACCUAUAAGACUGGGAUAACUUCGGGAAACCGGAGCUAAUACCGGAUAAUAUUUUGAACCGCAUGGUUCAAAAGUGAAAGACGGUCUUGCUGCCACUUAUAGAUGGAUCCGCGCUGCAUUAGCUAGUUGGUAAGGUAACGGCUUACCAAGGCAACGAUGCAUAGCCGACCUGAGGGGGUGAUCGGCCACACUGGAACUGAGACACGGUCCAGACUCCUACGGGAGGCAGCAGUAGGGAAUCUUCCGCAAUGGGCGAAAGCCUGACGGAGCAACGCCGCGUGAGUGAUGAAGGUCUUCGGAUCGUAAAACUCUGUUAUUAGGGAAGAACAUAUGUGUAAGUAACUGUGCACAUCUUGACGGUACCUAAUCAGAAAGCCACGGCUAACUACGUG